rnacentral:rRNA from 1 species
UCGAGAAUUUUUCACAAUGGGCGAAAGCCUGAUGGAGCGACGCCGCGUAGGGGAUGAAUGGCUUCGGCCCGUAAACCCCUGUCAUUCGCGAGCAAGCGUUAUUAUUUAAAAGAUGAUAGCCUGAUAGUAGCGAAAGAGGAAGGGACGGCUAACUCUGUGCCAGCAGCCGCGGUAAUACAGAGGUCCCAAGCGUUGUUCGGAUUUACUGGGCGUAAAGGGUGCGUAGGUGGUGGGGUAAGUCGGAUGUGAAAUCUCCGAGCUCAACUCGGAAAGUGCAUUGGAAACUACCCUGCUCGAGGGUUGGAGGGGGGACUGAAAUACUUGGUGUAGCAGUGAAAUGCGUAGAUAUCAAGUGGAACACCAGUGGCGAAGGCGAGUCCCUGGACAACUCCUGACACUGAGGCACGAAAGCUAGGGGAGCAAACAG